CGUGUAGUCACUCCGUCCGGAAAUACUUGUCCUGAAAAUUGUUGUAAAUGGAUGUAUCUAUUAUUAAAAUAUGUAUAGAUACAACCAUUUUGAGAACAAGUAUUUCCGGACAGAGGGAGUACGUU
rfam:Triticum urartu cultivar G1812 contig147914, whole genome shotgun sequence.